rnacentral:lncRNA from 1 species
UGGCCACCAGAAUCCAGCUUGUAACACCUUAGCAACAGUCUUGAAGGUGGCAAAGUGGCCUCCAUAAGAUGAUCCAUGACACUGUGUAGGGAUCCCAUCAAUCUCCUCAUUAGCAACCACUCUCCUAUAAAGUUGAUCUUUGCAGAGAAUGUAGAGGUAUGGCUCAUCCCAGUAGUAUCUCUUCACAUCCUUGUAGAACUUCUUCU